UUCUGAUCUAAGUAGUUUACUGAAGACUCCAAAUCUCUCUUAUCCAAAUUAGGUGAAAAGGGACAUAAAGAAUCUAGGAAAAAGUUCAACUCUGCCAAGAAUCUACAUUUUUCUGGUCACCAUCUGUCACCAGAUGGACAGUUUCUGUUUUCAACCAGAAUAAGGAGCAUUCCAUCUACCAAGAACAGAAAUUAAAAGAUGGCUAAGAAGAUUUUAGGACUGUAGGUUCAGAAGCAGAUAUGGAGCCUCAAAUCUGCUAAGACUGCCCUGAAUGAGAGUCUUAUCUCCUGUAGAAAACGAGCUGAAACUGUGGAAAAACAGACCCAAGCUCUUACACGAGUGGCUGACCAGCAAUGAAAGAUGCAUGCACAGCCUCACCAGGUGUCUACUGUUAAAGUGAGGGCAUUUGUUGGAAAAGCAUGCGACCUGGCAACUUGGAAUGGGGACAUGUGGGAGGACCCUGAUGAAGCUGAGGACACUGAGUUUGUAAACUCCGGUGAACCUUUUUUGCCAGAAGAAACAGCUUCCCCAUCCCCAGUAGUGGCAACAUCCCCUCCCUGACCUAUGCUGUUAUCAGUCUUUCCACCUUUGUCCAAGGAGAAAAACCCUAUGCUGCCUGCAGCAACAGUGAUGUCCUCCCCUGAGCCAGUUGCCAGGCAAGAUAAUGUUGAGUCUCCUCAGAGGCCACCCCCAACACCUGUUUGCUUCUAAACCUAUAACUAAAGUCCUGGUGGCCCCCUAAGGAUGAGGUUGAGAGUGUGACCCAUGAGGAAGUGCACUAUACUUGAACUGUUGGAGUUCUCUGAUUUAUAUAAACAGCAAUCUGGAGAACAGGCAUGGGAAUGGAUAUUAAGGUUAUGGGAUAAUGGUGGAAGGAACACAGAGUUGGAUCUGUAGCAGGAUAAGCCAUGGCCAAAACCCCUCAGACACUGGGUUGAGGGAAGAGGUAGCUUUAUUUGGCCAGGAACGUCAGCAGACCUGCAUCUCAAAAACUGAGCUCCCCAAGAGGGAAAUUCCUGCCCCUUUUAAGGGCUUACAGUUCUAAGGGGGUCCACGUGAAAGGGUUGUGAUCAAUUGAGCAAGCAUGGGGUACAUGGCUGGGGCCCCAUGCAUUGGUAGUUAAGACAGAACAGAACAGAAAGUUUCACAAUGCUUCCUCAUACAAUGUCUGGAAUCUAUAGAUAGUACAAGCAGUUAGUCAGGGGUUGAUAUUUAAUUAGCAGACCAGGCCUGGGGUGCGGGGCCAGGCUGCCUGACUAUUUAUCUCAUUUUUGCCUUCUUUAACUUAUUUCUUCCUUCUUUUUCUGAGGUAUGAAACAAUAAGAGAGGUGGUCUCCUUCCUCAUUCCCCCCCUUUGAGAAUCUCACUUAUUAGUGGGAGUUCUCACUUUCAUCUUCACUACCUAGGUCUUCCUGCAAGACAGAUUGAUAAUGAUUCAUGUAAUACAUUUGAGCCUUAUCUGUACUUGCUAGUUUCACAUUCCUUGAGGCUCAGCGAGUUUCUGCUUCACCUCCCCCGUGCAGCUGCAAAGUUACAAGGUUUAUACAGAAACAUGGUUUCCCAAGGAUUUGGAACAUGUAAUAUAGAUAAAUGUAAAAGACUGAUCAACUGCCUUUGUUCUUGCUUCUCUAAGUGUGCUUCCUGCAUCACGUAGCUCCCAGCCACUGACUGCUUAAAAGGUGGCUGCUUUCUUUGUCCAGGGCUCAGACUUUCCUGUACACUAAUCCUACUGAGCCAAGUGAUCAUCUUUUAAUAAAGACCUUUCCUGAACUCACUUUGUUUGGUCUCUCCCAUCUUUGAUUGUCCCGCAACAAUAAUAACUAUAAAACAGAAACUGUUUUAACUUGUUGCCCUACUCAGUGACCUGAUGAAUACAUUGGGAACAGUCCUCCAUGUGGGGAAAAUCAGUGGAAGUCCUUAUUACAUAAGUCCAAAUUUUAAGGAGAAUAAGUCCCACGAUGAGUUUCCUCAUGCUUUGGCUGUGCAUAGAUGAGUCAGCUUCUGGGUGUGACUGCAGCAGGGCUUGUCGUCCUUCUCAGAGUCACUUUGCAGGGGUUGUCUGGGCUUGGUCUCACCUUCCAGGUCUCAGAGGCUGCAGGUUUCACAUGGCUGUGGUGGAUCCAGGCUUGGAUUCCUUCAACCUUUACAGCUGUGGGGGUGGUCAAGAUGACGGUCUGGGGUCUUUCCACCGUGGUCACAAGGGGACUACAUUCCAAUCCUUGAUCCACACUUGAUCACCUGGAGAGAAAGGGUGAACUGGGUAGAAUAAGCUAAUGGGGCACCUCUCAUUUACCCAGGCUGAAAUUGUUUGAGCAAUUUUUCCUAUGGCCUAUAGCUGUCAUUUUAACUCAAUUUCACCUAGCUCUUGUGGAGUGCCUGGGAGUCCCCAUAGUAUGGGAGGGGGUCUAUGGUACAAUAUUUUAUAAGGGGAAUAUCCUGUUCUUUUAGAAGGGGUACAUCUUAUUUUAAACAAUACCAUCAGGAGAGCCUGUAUCUAUUUUAAUCUUGUUUCCUGACACACUUUCCCUAAGCUAUUCUUGAUAGUCUGAUUCAUUUGCUCCACCUUUCCUGAACUUUGAGGUCAGGAGGCAGCAUGCAGUUUCCAUGUGAUCCCUAAUACCUUUGCUGUCUUCUGUACCAAGUCAGCCACAAAUGCCAACCCAUUAUCUGAGCCAAUUCGUAAGAGCAGUCCAAAUCUAGGAAUACGAUCUCGAAGAAGUGCACGGGUUACUUCACGAGCUUUCUCAGUUCGUGUUUGAUAAGCCUCCACUCACCCAGAGUAGGUAUACAUGAGAACUAGUAAAUACUUGUUAUCUCCACACUUGGGCAUUUAUGUUAAGUCCACCUGGAGAUCUUCAAAGGGAGCUGCUCCAUAAACUUGUAUGCUGAGCAGAACAGCUGGACCCUGCCUCGCAUUGUGCUGUCGGCAGGUUACACACCACUGCACCAGUAUUUUGGCAAGGGCUGACAAAUGCGAGAUGUAGAAAUACUGGCCUAACAACUUUUCAAGUGACCCCUGACCUAGAUGGGUGGUUUCAUGCACAGUCAGUACGACUGCGGCUCCCAGCAGCUGUGGCAAAGCUACUUUCCUAUCUGGUAACUGGAUCCAUCCUUCUUCCAUCACCUGUCCUCCCUCUGCCUGUAGAAAGUCCUUUUUUCUUCUUUAAAAUAAGUAGGUACAAGGUCAGGUGCUUGAGGGAGCAGGGGGGCUGUGACUGAUGCCUGGUAGGGGGCAGAUGCUGCUUUUCGAGCCUCUGAGUCAGCUUGGGAGUUGUCCAAGGCAACUGAGGUGGAAGCUCGCUGGUGGACUCCGCAGUGCAUGACUGCCACCUUUUGGGGUUUCCAUACUUUUUCUAAUAAUUGCAAGAUUUCUUGCUGAUAUUUUAGUCCUUUACCCCAGAGUUCAACAGGCCCUUUUCUUUAUAUAAUGCUCCAUGCACUUGGAGGGUUAAAAAGGCAUACCUGGAGUCAGUGUAAAUGUUUACAGCCUUACCUUCACUGAGUUCUAAGGCCCAAAUUAAAGCAAUGAGCUCAGCUUUCUGGGCUGAGGUACCUUGGUGCAAUGAUUUGGCCUCAAUUACAGUGUCCACGGUUACCACUGCAUAUCCCGCACACCUCUCUCCUUGUGGGUUGACAAAGCUGCUCCUGUCCAUGCACAGCUCCCAGUCCACUGAUGCCCAAGGUUGGUCCCGGAGGUCAAGUCUGCUAGAGUAAACUGGGUCUAACACCUCUACACAGUUAGGCUCGACAGGGCUCUCUGAUACCGGGAGCAAGGUGGCGGGGUUCAGGGUUUUACAAAUUUCAAUGGUUAUGCGGGGAUUUUCACAGAGCAAGCUUUGGUACUUGGUUAGUCUAGCAUUCGUUAGCCAAUGAUGUCCUUUGGUAUUCAUUAAAGUCACCAUAGCAUGGGGGGCCCCUUUAUGUUCAGGUUUUGCCCAAGGGUUAGUUUAUCUGCUUCUUGUGCUAGCAGGGCAGUUGCUGCUAAGGCCCUCAAACCCGGGGGCCAACCUUUGGAAACCCUGUCUAGUUGUUUAGAGAGGUAGCCACCGGCCUCAACCAGGGCCCCACAGUCUUGGUCAAAACCCUAACUGCCAUUUUUUCUCUCUCUGACACAUAUAGUGUAAAUGGCUUUGUCAGGUCAGGCAGACCCAGGGCUGGGGCUGACAUGAAGUUUUCUUUUAACUCAUGAAAAUCCUGUUGCUGUUGGGACCCCCAUUCGAAAGGUUCCAUGUCACCCCUCUUUGUAACUUGGUACAGAGGUUUGGCCAGUACUGCAAAAUUUGGGAUCCAUAACCUGCAGAACCCUAAGAACAGCUCCUAAGAAUUCUCUCACCUGCCUUCUGGUCUUAGGCUCUGGUAGGUUGCAAAUGACCUGCUUUCUUUCUGAUCCUAGGCUGCGUUCCCCCUGUCGGAUUGUAAAUCCUAGGUAGCGUACCUGCUGUCUGCAGAUCUGAGCUUUCUUCUUGGACACCUUAUACUCACAGUCCUCCAGGUGUCAGAGCAGGGCGUCUGUUCCUUUGGCGCACCCAAUUGCUGUGGGGUGUCCCAGCAGGAGGUCGUUGACAUACUGGAGCAACACACAGCCUAGGUCUCUGGCGGGAAACUUUCGCAGGUCUUGAGCCAGGGCCUCCCUGAAGAUAGUGAGGGAGUUUCUGAACCCUUGGGGACGCCGGGUCCAAGUGUACUGAGUGGUGACACCUAAGCCUGGAUCUUCCCACUGGAAAGCAAACAGUUUCUGGCUCUCAGGAGCUAGUCUGGUGCUAAAGAAAGUGUCCUUCAAGUCCAGGAGGUGAAGCAGCUGUCCUCAGCUGGCAGUAACCCUAAGAACAUGUACGGGUUAGGUACCAUUGGGUGCAAAGUCACUGUAGCUUGGUUAACCAAGCGCAAGUCCUAUACUGGUCUGUAAACCUUGGUUCCUGGAUUGGGAACAGGCAGCAGGGCUGUGUUCCAGGCAGACUGACAGGGGGCUAUAAUUCCAAAGGCCUUCAGGCACUGGAGAUGGAUCUGGAUACCUUCAAGAGCUUCUCUGGUUACGGGGGCUUCGUUUACUGCUAGCCCCAGAGGAUUAUCUUCUGCCCACACCCUUAGCCACUGUUUAGCCAAAGCUGGUCCUAUCUCUUGGCCUGGCUCAGUUAAGAAAAGUCCAUUCUUCCUCCCAGGGGACUGUAAGGGCCAUAAUGACUCCCAUUCCAGGUAACUUUAGCGGUAAAGAGCUGUGCUUUGUAAAAGAGAUGGUGGCCCUCAGCUUGCUAAGCAAGUCCCUUCCCAGCAAGGGCAAGGGGCAGUCAGGCAUGUACAAGAACUGGUGAAUCACUUCAUGUCUCCCUACAGUACAAGUCCGGGGCAAGUAGAAAGCUUGUUUUUUCAAGACUCCUGUGGCUUUGAUUAUAUCAAUAGUCUUUUUGGAUAAGGGGGUGACUGGGGUGGUUACUACUGAAUGUUCAGGAUAAGUAUUGACAGGAAACUCAAUGUCCUUGCUCCUGACUGUCAUCUUGACCAUGGGCUCAUUGGGGGCACCUGAGCCCGGUCCCCCUCAGUCCAGUAACCCUUCUGCUAGAUUAAACAAGGCCCCUUCAUCCUUGCCUGAAACCUCUGGCUCAGAGCCAUUUUGUUUCUCUUUUAACUAGGGGCACUUGUCUUUCCAAUGCGCUGUUUCUUUACAGUAUGCACACUGGUUAUGCUGCAGGCAUGGUUGGUCAGACUGAGUGUUUUUCCCAGGGUCCCCCCUUCCUCGGCCCUUCGGGGGAACUCCUCUAAUAGCUGCAGCUAGCAGAUAGGUGUUUUGCCGGGCUUGGCACUUGCUUUCUUUGCGGCUCUCUCUACGGCCUGCCACAUCUCUACUCACAAACAUCUGACUGGCUAUUUUUAAUAACUGUGAAGUAUUCAUACUCACAAACCCAGCCUGUUUCUGAAGCUUUCUUCUAAUAUCUUUGGUGCUUUGACUAACUAAAGCCAUGUUAAUCAUGCGCUGAUUUUCAGGGCUAUUGGGAUCAAAGGGAGUAUACAUACGAUAGGCCUCACAUAGUCCCUUGUAAAAUUGUGCUGGACUCUCUUCUUUUCCUUGAAUGACCUCAGAGACUUUGUUAACAUCUGUGGCCUUCUGAGCUCCCUUUUUUAACCCUUCCAGGAGGGCCUCUCUAUACUGUUUUAGUCUCUCCAUGUCUGGCCCUUCAUUUGGGUCCCACUGGGGGUCUGUUCCUGGUAAUUGGACUCUCACAUACUCCUGGGGGUUUUGGUAACUGGCCAGAGCAUGUUCCUCUAGCCACUUAGUUGCUGCCUGGAGCACCCUUCGCUUUUCAUCUGUGUUAAAGAGGUACAUGAGCAGCUGGUGGCCAUCAGCCCAAGUAGGGUUAUGAAUCUGGAUAAUAGUUUGGAGCAAAUCAACUAAUGCUUGAGGCUUUUCACUAUAAGAUGGGGUAUUGUUCUUCCAGUUGAGGAGAUCAGCAGAGGUGAAGGGUUGAUACACAAAGGCACUCCUUUCUACCAUAUGCCCAUCCUCGUCUACCCCAGUAUAUCGCUGCUCCCUCAGGGGCAUUUGUAUUCCAGUCUUAGGCCAUAAAUGAGCCACCAGGGGAGGGGUUUCUCCCACAGCUUCACAUCCUCUCUUGUCUACUCUGGGUGGUCUAGUGGUGUGUGUGUCCUGUGGAGGCACAGGUGCUGUGGGCUCAGAAGUGGGGAGUCUCUCUUCUCAGUAAGCGGGGGGCAUCGCUGGUGCCAUUUCCUGCCAUAAGUCUCCUGAUAUUGGAUUGGACAGAACUUUAGGGGCCGACUUCCCUUGGCAGGUGGAGCGGGAUCCUUCCUUAACUAUCUGUCCUUUCACCACUAACACUGUGGCUCCCUGUCCUCUUAACCACGGUGGGGGGUUCUAAAACCAGCUGUAACCAAGUGUCUAUGCAUGGGAACUGGUCUGGGUGCCCUGGCUUACAGGUUAUCUUAUGACAUACCUUUGAAACAAGGGCCCUAUCCAGGCUUCUUCUGAUGGCCAACCCACCUCAAAUACUGGCCAGUCUAUCUUACACAAAGUUCUAAGUUUUCCUGGUGUCAUAGUAACUCCAUAGUCUCCCUUAAAUCCCUACUUAAAAUUUUUUAACAUAGUUCCUAGUGGAGUGGGUUUACUUUGUGUCUGACCCAUUUUUCUCUCGAGACAAUGUUCACACUACAAGAAGGAAAGGGUAAAGAUCACUCACUCAUCUAAUUCACACUAAAUCAAGCAUUUCAAGCCAAGUCAAAAUCAAAACCAAAACCAAAGUGCCAAUAAAGGCACACCAUGGGUGAUCAGGUCACGCUUCCACUCAAAUGGAGUGGGCAAGUCCCCAAGACCAGUCUUACCAUAUUCCAGAUGUCCGGACUCCAAGUGCCAGUUCCUUUCUGGUGUUCUGCCACUGCGUUGAUCCUCCGCAGGGGCCUGCCAUGCACUCCUCUGUUGAGGCGUUCCACCGGGGCAAAUGCCUACCCAGGAGUGCUCUCAGGAUCCGUGUCACUCAAGCUGGCCGGAGUCCCCUGCAGGGAUGCUCCACAGGGCAGGCCUGAGCCACCUAAGGGGCUGCCUUGACUGUCUGCUAAUCACCUCGCUUCCCAGUCAGAGAACCAAGAAAUGUAGCAGGACAAGCUGUGGACAAAACCCCUCAGACACCAGGUUGAGAAAGGAAGUAGCUUUAUUCGGCCAGGAGCAUCAGCAGACUUGUGUCUCAAAAACCAAGCUCCCUGAGAGAGAAAUUCCUGCCCCUUUUAAGGGCUUACAAUUCCAAGGAGGUCCACAUGAAAAGGUCGUGAUCGAUUGAGCAAACAUGGGGUACGUGGCUGGGGCUGCAUGCAUCGGUAAUCAAGACAGAACAGAACAGAGCAGAAAGUUUCACAAUGCUUCCUCAUACAAUGUCUGGAAUCUAUAGCUAAUACAAGUGGUUAGGUCAGGGGUUGAUUUUUAACUACCAGACCAGGCCUGAAGUGCAGUGCUGGGCUGUCUAUUGAUCUCAUUUUUGCCUUUCUUUAACUUUUACUUCCUCAUUCUUUUUCUGAGGUAUGAGACAAUAAGAGAGGUGGUCUCCUUCCUUAGAUCAGGCUGAAUUUAUUGACUUGGGCCCACUAAGUAGGGACUCUGCAUUUAAUGUUGCAGCUUGAGGAGUUAAAAAAGCACUUCCUGUACAGCCUGCAGAACCAUGAGCCAAAAUAAAUUUUUCUUUUUUUUUUCUGAUGGAGUCUCACUCUGUCACCCAGGCUGGAGUGCAGUGGAACAAUCUCAGCUCACAGCACCCUCCACCUCCCAGGUUCAAGCAAUUCUCCUGCCUCCGCCUCACGAGUAGCUGGGACUACAGGCAUGUGCUACUAUGCCCUGCUAAUUUUUGUAUUUGUGGUAGAGAUGGGGUUUGACCAUGUUGGCCAGGCUGGUCUUGAACUCCUGACCUCAAGCGAUUGGCCCGCUUUGGCCUCCCAAAGUGCUGGGAUUACAGGAGUGAGCCACCAUGCCUGGCCCUCUUUUCUUUAGGAAUUACCCAGUGUCAGGUAUUCCUUUACAGCAAGGCAAGAAAUAACAUAAUCCCAUAGGACAAAAUAAAUAUCCAUAAAUCCAUAGGGACAUAAAUAAAUAAUUCAAUAAAUAAAUGUAUGAGAGAAGAGACACUUCUUCCUUACAGAAUUCCAAUUAAUCAAUGUAGAAGGAAUGAGUAAAAUACAAAAUCCCCACUAGACCACCACAGUAGUAACUGUUGACAAGAUCCACCAAUGAAUGAGAAAACCAGCAGGCAAAAGUUUGAGAAGAAACAGGAUGCUAGCACAGUCUAAAGCAUCUCUCCAAGAUGUUUAUCAUUUACAAAGGGAGAAAAGUAACUUACAGUAAUGAAACCUGGGAGAUUCCACCUUAACCAAGUGAUCGUGGUAAAUAUCACUAAUAAGCCACGUUGGCAUCCUGUACCCCGAUAGGAAAUAACAAGGGCAUUUCACCUUGUGAUCUUCUUCCCCCAAACACAUCACCUUAGUCUAAUCAUGAGGAAAACGUGGACAAAACCAAACUGAGGAUCAUUCUACAAAAAAGCUGGCCAGUACUCAUCAAGAGUCCAUGAAAGACAAGGAAAUACGGAACAACUGUCACAGAUUGGAGGAAACUGAGGGGACACGAAUGAAUGCAACGUGGCAUCUUAGAUUAUAUCCUGGAAUAUUAAAAAGGCAUGGUAGGGGUGGGAGGAGAUGGUGAAAAUCAAAGGGCUAUAGUUUAAUUCAUAGUAUUGUAUCAAAGUUAAUUUCCUCAUUUUGAUUACUGAACUACAGUUAUAUAAGUUUUUAACAUCAGGGAAGCAAAGUGGUAGAAAUAUGUGAACUCUGUACUAUUUCUUCAAAUUUUCUGUAAGUCUAAAAUUAUUUCAGAAAUAAAAUAAAAACACAUGCAUCCACAAAAUAGUAACUACGGAGAGGUGAUAAUGUGUUAAUUAUCUUGAUUUUGAUGAUCAUUUCACAACGCAUGUGCAUAUCAACCAUCAAAUUGUACACCAUAUAUAAUUUUUAUGUCAAUAAAUCUUAAAAUAUAUAAAAACAAAUGAAUUAAUAAAAUAAAAAAUAAAUUAAAAAUAAGAAUAAGCUCCAUCUGAAGCGCUACUUGCAUAGUGCACAUUGAAAACCACAUCCUGCUGCUGCUGGCUGGAGGACUUGAAUACCAUUCAGAAUUUCCCCUAUUACUGUGCAGCUCUUCAUCGAAAAUCAUAACUACAAAAUUGCUGGCAAGGUACUCUCCCUGGUCCUCGAUUUUCCAUACCAUUCUGAGCUUCUUGACACCUUUUAAUUCAGUCACUGAAAUUAAAAUCUGCACCUAGAAAGAAAAAAACUAUCACAUCACUCAUCUGCACAACCUAUUAAUCAACAAAUAAUUAUUAAAUACCUACUGCAUCCCAGGCACUGUUCUUGGCACUGGGGAGUCAGCAGUGAAUAAAACCUGUCUUAACAGAACUUAAUUGCAAACUCUGUUAUAGCUAUGAAUAUACCAACAGUUUAACAUUUAGUUGUUCAUCCUGAAACAUUUUGAUUUUUUUAAAUUAAUUUUAACUAUAGUCAACCUUACUAAUUUCACAGAUAUAAAUAAUGCAAAUUUCCCUCAACCCCUUUGCCCUUAGAGAAGCUUCCUCAUACACACAACAAAGUCAGAACUAAAUCAGACUCCCAAUAUGCCAUUAGUUAGGUUGGGGAGGAGGCUUGGUAACUGAGAGCUGAGUUGAGGUCCCUAAGCCUUUCCCAGCCCCAGCU
rnacentral:lncRNA from 10 species